ACGGUCCUGCCGGGAGAGAGCGGGACGGUCCGCCGCCGAAGGAGCAGUCGCGCGCCCCGCGAUCUCUCAGGCAAAAGGACCGGUUGGGCCGC
rfam:Loktanella soesokkakensis strain CECT 8367 genome assembly, contig: 0002